GCUAUUAUUUACUUGAUUUAGAUUCCAUACGUGGAUAACUGUGGCAAUUCUAGAGCUAAUACAUGCACCAAAGCUCCGACUCGUUGACGAGCGCAUCUAUUAGAAUAAAACCAAUCGAGACAGUGUCUCGUCCAUUUGGUGACUCUGAAUAGCUUAGCUGAUCGCAUGGUCACGCACCGGCGACGUAUCUAUCAAGUAUCUGCCUUAUCAACUUUCGAUGGUAGUUUAUAUGACUACCAUGGUUGUAACGGGUAACGGAGAAUAAGGGUUCGACUCCGGAGAGGGAGCCUGAGAAACGGCUACCACUUCCAAGGAAGGCAGCAGGCGCGCAAAUUACCCACUCUCAGCUCAGAGGAGGUAGUGACGAAAAAUAACGAGACCGUACUCGAUGAGGCCGGUUAUCGGAAUGGGUACAAUUUAAACCCGUUAACGAGGAUCUAUGAGAGGGCAAGUCUGGUGCCAGCAGCCGCGGUAAUUCCAGCUCUCAAAGUGUAUAUCGGCAUUGCUGCGGUUAAAAAGCUCGUAGUUGGAUUUCAGCCUUACGACGUGGUCCAUUCAUUGAAUGCGAACUACGCCUCGUAGGCUAUAUUGAUGUUGGUUUUUCCUUACGUUGCUCUAAUCGGCUGCGUAAGGUGGCUAACGAGUUUACCUUGAAAAAAUUAGAGUGCUCAACGCGGGCUAACGCCUGAAUACUCGUGCAUGGAAUAAUGGAAUAGGAUCUCGGUUCUAUUUUGUUGGUUUUCUGAUCUGAGAUAAUGGUUAAGAGGGACAGACGGGGGCAUUCGUAUCGCUGCGUGAGAGGUGAAAUUCUU
rnacentral:rRNA from 1 species